AAAAUACACUCAAUUUCCCACAGGUUCCUGAUGAGACUGAGAGAAACCUGGUGAAGUGUCAGUAAGAGAACACAAAUGUCUGCCUCUGCCUCUGCUUCGUGUCAGGGUUCAUGAAAUCUGCACCAUGUGGAACCCGGGGGCCAUCACCAUCUUCAUAAAGAGAGCCAGUGACAAGUUCUGCCCUGGGACCUAAGAAUGACCCAAGAAGCCAGGAUUACCCAGAACCCCAGAUCUGCUGACACCUCCAUGUCCUCCACCAAGGCUGGAGAGAAGCAGAACUCUAACCUGAGACAGGAAGUGUUCCUCGGGUGCAUAAUAGAGAAAGGGAAGUAUGACCACCCUGCAAAGAAGGAAUCACAGAGAAACGUCCUCGAGUGCUUACAGCAGCAAGGUGAGGAGAGAAUUCGGUCACUAAGAGACAACUGACUUCAAAAGGUAAAUGCAGAAGCUUUCUCUUUGAGAAUAGAAACAAGGUGAGCUAUUCUCAACAAUUCCAUUCAACCUUUUAUGGGAAAUCAGGCCAGUGUAAUAUGGAAAAAAGAAAAAAAAAUCAG